rnacentral:rRNA from 1 species
UACAGAGGUCUCAAGCGUUGUUCGGAUUCAUUGGGCGUAAAGGGUGCGUAGGCGGCGCGGUAAGUCGGGUGUGAAAUCUCGGAGCUUAACUCCGAAACUGCAUUCGAUACUGCCGUGCUUGAGGACUGGAGAGGAGACUGGAAUUUACGGUGUAGCGGUGAAAUGCGUAGAUAUCGUAAGGAAGACCAGUGGCGAAGGCGGGUCUCUGGACAGUUCCUGACGCUGAGGCACGGAAGGUCAGGGGGAGCAAAACGGG